rnacentral:tRNA from 1 species
GGAGCGGUAGUUCAGUUGGUUAGAAUACCGGCCUGUCACGCCGGUGGUCGCGGGUUCGAGCCCCGUCCACUCCGCCA